UACGGGGGGGGCAAGCGUUGUUCGGAAUUACUGGGCGUAAAGGGCUCGUAGGCGGCCAACUAAGUCAGACGUGAAAUCCCCCGGCUUAACCGGGGAACUGCGUCUGAUACUGGGUGGCUUGAAUCCGGGAGAGGGAUGCGGAAUUCCAGGUGUAGCGGUGAAAUGCGUAGAGAUCAUGAGGAAGACCAGUGGCGAAGGCGGGUCUCUGGACAGUUCCUGACACUGAGGCACGAAGGCCAGGGGAGCAAACGGG
rnacentral:rRNA from 1 species